rnacentral:rRNA from 1 species
GACGAACGCUGGCGGCGUGCUUAACACAUGCAAGUCGAGCGGAGCGGCGAACGGGUGAGUAACGCGUAAUCAACCUGCCCUUCCGAGGGGGACAACAGUUGGCAACGACUGCUAAUACCGCAUACUGAAGGAGGGGAUUGCGUCUGAUUAGCUAGUUGGAGGGGGAACGGCCCACCAAGGCGAUGAUCAGGAGCCGGUCUUGGAGGAUGAACGGCCACAAUGGGACUGGGACACGGCCCAGACUCCUACGGGAGGCAGCAGUGGGGAAUCUUCCGCAAUGGACGGAAGUCUGACGGAGCAACGCCGCGUGAGUGAUGACGGCCUUCGGGUUGUAAAGCUCUGUUAAUCGGGACGCGGUACCGGAAGAGAAAGCCACGGCUAACUACGUGCCAGCAGCCGCGGUAAUAC